UACGAAGGGUGCAAGCGUUACUCGGAAUUACUGGGCGUAAAGCGUGCGCAGGCGGCUUCGCAAGUCAGACGUGAAAUCCCCGGGCUUAACCUGGGAAUGGCGUUUGAAACUACGGAGCUGGAGUGUGGCAGAGGGAGGUAGAAUUCCACGUGUAGCGGUGAAAUGCGUAGAUAUGUGGAGGAAUACCGAUGGCGAAGGCAGCCUCCUGGGCCAACACUGACGCUCAUGCACGAAAGCGUGGGGAGCAAACAGG
rnacentral:rRNA from 1 species